rnacentral:SRP_RNA from 1 species
GUUCGAGCCCCGCGCGAUGCGAACCGCCAAACCCGGUCAGGCCCGGAAGGGAGCAGCCGUCAGGAGGAUCUCGCAGGCGCCGCGGGUCCACUUGAACCGG